UACAGAGGUGGCGAGCGUUGUUCGGAUUUACUGGGCGUAAAGGGUGCGUAGGUGGUUUCGUAUGUCGGAUGUGAAAUCCCAUGGCUCAACCAUGGAAUUGCAUUCGAAACUGCGUAACUAGAGUACAGGAGAGGAGAGCGGAAUUCUUGGUGUAGCGGUGAAAUGCGUAGAUAUUCGGAGGAACACCAAUUGCGAAGGCAGCUCACUGGGCCGCUAUCGACGCUGAGGUGCGAAAGCGUGGGGAGCAAACAGG
rnacentral:rRNA from 1 species